GUGAAGCCGGCGAGUGUAGCAAUACACAAUUUGCACAGGUGCUGCAAGGCUGUCGUCAGCUCGUGUCGUGAGAUGUUGGGUUAAGUCCCGCAACGAGCGCAACCCCUGUGAACUGUUGCCAUCCGGGAGCGAUCCCGGAGCACUCUGUUCAGACUGCCCUGUGAAACGGGGAGGAAGGUGGGGAUGACGUCAAGUCAGCAUGGCCCUUACGGCCAGGGCUGCACACGUACUACAAUGCUCAGCACAGAACGAUCCGAAACCGCGAGGUGGAGGAAAUCCCAAAAACUGAGCCCAAUUCGGAUCGCAGGCUGCAACUCGCCUGCGUGAAGCCGGAAUCGCUAGUAAUGGCGCAUCAGCUACGGCGCCGUGAAUACGUUCCCGGGCCUUGUACACACCGCCCGUCACAUCAUGGAAGUCAUUUGUACCCGAAGUGCAUGCGCCAACCCGCAAGGGAGGCAGUGCCCUAAGGUAUGAGGGGUAACUGGGAUGAAGUCGUAACAAGGUAGCCGU
rnacentral:rRNA from 1 species